GUUCUGAUCACUUCUCCAGAGGGGACCUCUGACCAUCCCUCCGUCAAUGGCUCUGAGACCAGGAAAUCAAGGGCUCCCCUCUGCCUUGGCUCAGCUGGCCCCAGACUCCUGAUCUUUGUGCUGUGUGGACUCCUCCUGGCCAAGGGGCUGAUACUGUGAGUUCUGUUUGUGCUCCUGACCUGCAGGUGCCACCAGACAGCAGCGAUGGAGGUUUCUGAUUGUCCUAGCCCAGCCCUGCGUCAGGACCCUUGGGUGUGUGAGCCACAGCAUGGAUCCAGGAUGAAUCCCAGUUCUUUCCCCGUCUAGCUAUUGGGAGCCACCCUAAGCAUCAGGCCCCACCUUCCCAUGAGGAAAGGCCAGUGCCAAGCCUGUUGGAGAGAAUGUUCAACCCCCAAUCUCCCUGGUGGUGACCUCUCACCCCUGCACUGAGCCCUCUUACAUCUACUUUCGCUGCCCUGACUUCUGCCAUUGGGAAGACCCUGGCGGGGGUUUCUGCAUCCUGGUCAAUGCCCAGCUCAGCAUCUUCAGCUGCGCCCGGCUCCUCCUCUCCAGCAUUCUGUGGUUCUCUCAGCCCCGCCUCAGCAGGUUUGCAGGAUGCCUCACAUUUUCCCUGUUUGUUGCCUGUGUUCUGCCUGAGAGUCCUAUGACUUUCCUUUUGUGCUUAAUUAAAUUCAGCCUCUGAACUGAAACUUGCUCAGGUACAACUGAGCAAGAGGGCAGAUGUAUCCCCUCACCCUCCCCGUCUCCCACCCCAGAUAUCCUAAAUGAGAGAUAAAUGACUUAAAAUAAACGAUAAAAUUGAAACUAAGAAAGCUGUUAUCAGCAGACCAAAAAAUGAGGAAUAUCUAUAAGUAAAAGAAAAAAUCAGAUGCGUUAAAAUGACGUGAGCAGGUGACUCCGCAGCGUAACAUUCAUCCGUAAAUGGAACCUGAUAAUCCAGGGCCGAAAUUUCGUUUGCUUAACAUGUGAGGAGAUUCAUAGCCUAAAAGAGAAAAUUAAGUUGAACUAACAAUAAUUGAUGGUGGAUGAAAGAUAAAUGUUUCGGGGAACAGAAGAGGAGCACAUAUUUAUGAAACAAGAAGAGGCACAGUCAUUUUCCAACUAACAUCUAGCAAGGCUAGGAUUGACCACUUAGAAUGGGGGUCCACCAAGGACAACCAAUUUGGGGUACCAGUGCAUAGCAGCUGAAUGCCAGCCCUGAAAAAGACCACCUUAAAGACAGCACCAUUUUCUUUUCCUCUUUUGGGGUUGGGCCCUCCAACAGAAGACUCCUCAUGUAUAUCUCAGCUCCUGCCUCGUGACCAUCACCUAUCUGUGAGAGGCAUCACUUUUGCUUUGUUUCUUUAUUUUGUUAAUCUUCAUGUCCUAUUUCCACUUCCCUUCCUCUCUGAGGCAACCACUCUAAUGCAUUUGAUAUGUAACCUUAAAUUUGAAUGUAUUCUUGUAAAGCAUGCAGUAUUCUUUUUUCCUGUGACUAUGUGUUAACUUACUUAGAAGAAAUUGUGAUAGGCCUUUUUCAUAUGCUUGUCUUACUCCGUGCUGGGAGCAUAUACAGAGCCCACUUUUUUUUCAGUGCUUAUUCCAUUGUGUACAUAUCCCACAGUGCCUCAUUCCGAUCUCAGGGUGCAUGUGCUGUUUUACCUUCACUUCUUCAUAUCAUAAAUAAUGCUGCGAUGAAUACGCUCCAUCAUGUUCUCUUGUGGACUCCUGUGAGACUUCCUUUAGGAUUUAUACGCAGGUGGCAUCAGCUGGGUUGUAGGAUCUCAGACAUCUAAUUAAUACUGCCAGCUUGUGCCGCCUGAAACAUGAAUCUAGAUACUAGAGAUUAUAUGUUUUCUGUGAGUCUAUGUGAAGUACACAGCACCACGUAUAAAAUGGUAUUGCCAAUAAAA